GGAGAGAGAAGUUUAAAGAAAGAAUGAGAUUGGUGGAAUUAAUGUUGAGUAAAGUAAUGGCAUCACAGCUUGCGGAAGAACAAAGGAAGCCCAGAGAGGACGAAUUAAAAGAGGAAAAUAACAGCCUUGAUGAGCAUGAAGAACAAGGACCAUUGUCAAAGGACAUAAAAGGACUUAAAACAAGAGACAUCGACAUUAGAGACAAUAAAUAAAAGAGAUAAGACACUCAAGACUAAGAAGAAGAGAAUAUAUAAGAAGAAACCCCAAAAUAGAGAACUGAAAAGGAGGUGGGGGGAAACAUGGCCGGCAGGCAGA